AGUGGCGCGAACAUGACUGAAGGCUAUCAGGGUGGCCCAAUGGGCGGCGGGGUUCUCAGCAGGCGGGACCGGGUCGCCAGCACUGGCGGCUGCAACUUUCUAGAGCGGGCGCUGCCGGACCUAAACACGCCCACUUUCCGUGUGGGCGCCUUUGGGGGCUGUGGCGUGGCCGGCUGCGCGGGCCGGGGACUUGUCGCUGCCCGGGCGUGGAGAGGUCGCGGACUCGGACCGGGAGGAUGCCGCGGUGGCGCGGGCUCCGGGCUGCAGCCUGCAGGCGGCGGCCGAGCUCAGGGCGAUGUGUGGGUGAGUGCGGGCCGAGGGGCUCUUGCAGUUCGGGGCCAACGAAACUGCACCCCGCAGCCUCGCUCCUGCUGUUCUCUGGGAUUCGUCCCAGGGAGGGCCUGUGGUUUGGACCUGGGGGUAGGAGGAUCGCGCUUCAAAGCGUUCAACCGCUGGAGCCUUCUUCGAACACCGGGAGAAGUCCCAGGACCCUGAUGCAAAAUUUCUGCGAGUUGAAGUAAAGGAAUAAGACUGCUUCAUCAAAGGAUUAGAAAGAAGUUCUUGGAAAAUCGGGAAGAAACAAACCAUUAUGAUAGAUUGUGUCUGCAGACAAGAAACAUUUGCCUAU